CAUGGAGAAAGCUGACUUGGCUGGUGUGGUGCAGAGAAGCCAGCUUGUUUAUGUGCUUAUUCCAUG
rfam:Pan troglodytes isolate Yerkes chimp pedigree #C0471 (Clint) chromosome 20, whole genome shotgun sequence.